AUUGAACGCUGGCGGCAGGCUUAACACAUGCAAGUCGAGCGGAGAUGAGGUGCUUGCACCUUAUCUUAGCGGCGGACGGGUGAGUAAUGCUUAGGAAUCUGCCUAUUAGUGGGGGACAACAUCCCGAAAGGAAUGCUAAUACCGCAUACGCCCUACGGGGGAAAGCAGGGGAUCUUCGGACCUUGCGCUAAUAGAUGAGCCUAAGUCGGAUUAGCUAGUUGGUGGGGUAAAGGCCUACCAAGGCGACGAUCUGUAGCGGGUCUGAGAGGAUGAUCCGCCGCACUGGGACUGAGACACGGCCCAGACUCCUGCGGGAGGCAGCAGUGGGGAAUAUUGGACAAUGGGCGGAAGCCUGAUCCAGCCAUGCCGCGUGUGUGAAGAAGGCCUUUUGGUUGUAAAGCACUUUAAGCGAGGAGGAGGCUACCUGGAUUAAUACUCUAGGAUAGUGGACGUUACUCGCAGAAUAAGCACCGGCUAACUCUGUGCCAGCCGCCGCAGUAACAC
rnacentral:rRNA from 1 species